rnacentral:rRNA from 3 species
UUGCGACCCCAGGUCAGGCGGGACCACCCGCUGAGUUUAAGCAUAUCAAUA